rnacentral:rRNA from 1 species
CCUUUAUAGCCCAGGGCUACACACAGCUACAAUGGUCUGUACAAUGGGUAGCCAAGCCGCGAGGCGGAGCCAAUCCUGAAAGCAGGCCUCAGUUCAGAUUGCAGUCUGCAACUCGACUGCAUGAAGCCGGAGUUGCUAGUAACCGCAGGUCAGCAAUACUGCGGUGAAUACGUUCCCGGGUCUU